GUAUGACUCUCGGCAAUGGAUAUCUUGGCUCUUGCAUCGAUGAAGAGCGCAGCGAAAUGCGAUACGUGGUGUGAAUUGCAGAAUCCCGUGAACCAUCGAGUUUUUGAACGCAAGUUGCGCCCGAGGCCAAUUGGCUAAGGGCACGUCCGCCUG
rnacentral:rRNA from 3 species